rnacentral:rRNA from 1 species
CACGUAGUUAGCCGGUGCUUCUUUACCCAUUACCGUCACUCACGCUUCGUCACAGGCGAAAGCGGUUUACAACCCGAAGGCCGUCAUCCCGCACGCGGCGUUGCUGCAUCAGGCUUCCGCCCACUGUGCAAUAUUCCCCACUGCUGCCUCCCGUAGGAGUCUGGGCCGUAUCUCAGUCCCAAUGUGGCCGGUCACCCUCUCAGGCCGGCUACCCGUCAAAGCCUUGGUAAGCCACUACCCCACCAACAAGCUGAUAAGCCGCGAGUCCAUCCCCAACCGCCGAAACUUUCCAACCCCCACCAUGCAGCAGGAGCUCCUAUCCGGUAUUAGCCCCAGUUUCCUGAAGUUAUCCCAAAGUCAAGGGCAGGUUACUCACGUGUUACUCACCCGUUCGCCACUCGAGCACCCCACAAAAGCAGGGCCUUUCCGUUCGACUUGCAUGUGUUAAGCACGCCGCCAGCGUUCGUCCUGAGCCAGGAUCAAACUCU